AAGGAGUCUAACAUGCCCGCGAGUGUUUGGGUGUCAAACCCAGGCGCGUAAUGAAAGUGAAAAGUUGGGACCCUUUAGUGGGGCACCGACGCCCGAUCCUGACGUUCUCUGACGGAUUUGAGGCAGAGCGUGUAUGUUGGGACCCGAAAGAUGGUGAACUAUGCCUGAAUAGGGUGAAGCCAGAGGAAACUCUGGUGGAGGCUCGUAGCGAUUCUGACGUGCAAAUCGAUCGUCAAAUUUGGGUAUAGGGGCGAAAGACUAAUCGAACCAUCUAGUAGCUGGUUCCUGC
rnacentral:misc_RNA from 1 species